rnacentral:rRNA from 1 species
UGGUCAAGUUAUUAAGGGUGCAGGGCGGAUGCCUUGGCACUAGGAGCCGAUGAAGGACGUGAUAAGCUGCGAUAAGCUUCGGGGAGUUGCACGUAAACUUUGAUCCGAAGAUUUCCGAAUGAGGAAACUCACUUAGAGUAAUGUCUAAGUAUCAUUAAGUGAAUACAUAGCUUAAUGAGGGGAACUCAGGGAACUGAAACAUCUAAGUACCUGAAGGAAGAGAAAGAAA